GCUUUAUAAACUUUACAAAAUAGUUCAGACAAGUGACAAGUUCAAUAAUCGCAGUUCAAUGCAAAUCUGCAUUAACUAGAUUCAAUGUCUUUAUUAAACCAUUAGAUUAACAUUUAGGAGAGGUAUGAAGAGUCUCAUAGACAAGACAAUAUAUACAUAUAUAGGAAUUGAUCAAUGUGCAGGCAUUAAGUAUGUACGAGUUAGCAUUAUCUACAUUACUUUCUAUUACAAAAUGGCAUGUUCAAUCUGGACAGUCAUCAGAAGGUUCUAUUUUCUACCAGAUACUAUAGCUCUCCUCUUGCAUGUGCAUUUACAGAUGCGCUAAAAUGUUAGGAUUUAAAUGGGCAAUUUUUUUCUUGCCUUAAGAAUAUUUUAAAAAAUAUAAAUGUGAAACUUCUGAAUUUGUAGGAAUGAUAUCCAAUUGGUAUGGCUAAGGUAGACAUUUUACACUUACUUCUAACCACACCAACUGAAAGCAGUCAGCUGACACUCUCAGCCAGUCACAGCUGCCUAUUACUGCUCAGACAAAUUCUUCCUCAUUAGCCUGAACAACACAGGAGGGUAUGGGCUGCUGGAAACUCUUGUUUACUAUUAAAACAUUAAAAAAAAGUUUAAUACUGAAUGGAAAAACUACCAGGGGACUCCACUUCAUGUAACCUCUUCAAUGAGAGGAAUCAGUUAUAGUGCCAACAAUCUUCAUUUUACCUUUCAAGCAGCAGAAUUAUGGUAUAUGCUUCGAAUGCUUUCCAAUGGGGAAGGCGUUUGCGCAUUAGGUUUCCUCACGAUGAUGUCAGAGAAGGCAGAGACAGAGCCUGACUUAGUGCUUAAAGGGUUUUUAACCCUCUGGUUUUCCAGAGAGGGGGAAUGGGGAGAGGGACACUAUAGUGUUAUAAAUACAGCUUUGUAUUCUUUACACUACAUGUUCCUUAACUCCAAUUGCCUAUUUAAUGAACGAACCCUGCAGAAAUUAGUGAAUAUUUGACAAACAAUUAAUUUUCUAUAAGACUGAACAGCACAAGAUCAACAACAUAUAUUUAAACAUACAAAACACAUAUGUCAUGAUUUGUUUGACAUUAAAUUGAAAUACUGAAUUAUGACAAACACAAGACUGGAAAACGAAAAUAAAAAAACACCUUUAUUAAGAUUUCAAUAAAUGAAUUUUCUGUAAGGAAAGGGCGAUAUUAUAGACAAUGUAGAAUCUCCUUUCUGAAUGAGAGAUUGACAAAGAUUAUGAGGCCUGUAGCACAGAGUUUAAAAUAUACAGUAAUCACACUGCGUUUUUCAUACAAUGCUGGGUCCUUGAAAACCAUCAGUUAUUUUACAUUGAUUUUUAUUGAUAGUCAAGGUGAGUGAAACAUUUUCCACCAAAUAAAAAUGAAAGGGCUUUCUGCACCUGUACAGCAUAGGGAUAUGACAAGAUUUAUUUAUAUUCACAUUGAUAUGUUAACAUGUACAUCUCAGCCUGUAUUGGUUAUUGAAACAAGACAUACAGUUUAACAGGACACUUCAGGCACCAUCACAACUGUAAUGCAUCAGGUAGCAUUUGGCAACAACAGUAUUCGGUUUUGUUUUUUCCACUCAUACACAAAUAUAUAUAUAUAUAUAUAUAUAUAUAUAUAUAUAUAUAUAUAUAUCAAAUAGGUUAUGGUGUGAAAAAUUGUGAAUGAAAACCCCUUCCACCUGAAGUCUGUGGAUAGUUAAUACAAUGUUAAACAAAAAAUCUGCACACCAGUAAAGCCAUAGGACUUGCUUUUCCCACAGAAAUCACAAAUUUGCAGUGAUGUUACUACCUCAAAGGAUUCUGGAUUUCUGUGGGAAAAGCAAGUCUUGUGGCUUAACUGGUGUGCAGAUUUUUGUUUAACACUGUAUUAAAUAUAUAUUCCACACCUCUCCAAUUUUAACAUUUGUGCUUUAUUACCAAUGUAUGUAUAUAUGCAGGUCAGUGAGCUAAGCCGCUGGAAGUCAGGCACACUCACACAUUUAGAAAUCCAGUUAUUAAAUCUCUACGUGUCUGUCUGCUCUGAACUUUGCCUAUCUAGUAAACAGUGCACAAGCAAGGCUUUAAAAUGAUUUAGUAGAGAUUCUCCUUGCACAGAACAGAGAGAGAAAUGUGAUUAUUAUUACAGGUAUUUCACCGUGCUAAUUAAAAUGCUGAUUAAUCUGGUAAGGUAUACUGACAGUUGACAUUUCUGAUCCUCUGUGAGAAAUAAGUACUUCAUGCUGAUUGGUUGUUUGCCAGCUUUCUAAAAGAAACUGGUUAACAUUUUACUCGGAUAUCGCCGGAGAAGCUGCAGAAGUGCAGACUGCUAGAGAAAGAGGUAUUUAUAAUAAAUGUUUACAAAUUGUAUUUAAUGCACAUUUUUAUGAAUCACCUAAGUAACAUAUAUAACAAGAGCUUUCACCUGGGAGUGCUCUUUAACCCAUGAAAAAUAUCAAAAUAUUGAACUCCCUCCCCCCAAAAAAAAAGAAAAUAUUGUAGCAUAGUUUAAUUUGUUAUUGCUACAGACAUUUGAUUUUUAAAGGUAUUUGGACUUCUGGUAAUGGUGAAAUACUCUGUUCACUUUUUCUCUGUUCUGGUAGCAUCACCCAUAUAAGUAAAAGUUUUUUAAUUAAGUGAGAAUUCAAAGAGCAUUUCACAUUUAAAGGACCACUCUAGGCACCCAGACCACUUCAGCUUAAUGAAGUGGUCUGGGUGCCAGGUCCAGCUAGGGUUAACCCAUUUUUUCAUAAAAAUAGCAGUUUCAGAGAAACUGCUAUGUUUGUGAAUGGGUUAAGCCUUCCCCCUAAUCCUGAUUUUCACAGUGAGAGCACGCCAGCGUCCAUAGGAAAGCAUUAUGAAUGCUUUCCUGUGUGACCGGCUGAAUGCGCGUGCAGCUUUUGCCGCGCGUGCGCAUUCAGCCGACAGGGAGGAGAAGAGGAGGAUCGGAGGAGGAGAGCUCUCCGCCCAGCGCUGGAAAAAGGUAAGUUUUAACCCCUUGCCCCUUUCCAGAGCCGGGCGGGAGUGGGACCCUGAGGGUGGGGGCACCCUCAGGGCACUAUAGUGCCAGGAAAACGAGUAUGUUUUCCUGGCACUAUAGUGGUCCUUUAAGAUCAGGGUAGAUGGACUGGAAUCAAUUUCUUGAGUUUGGCUAUUUUGACCUUAAACUUUAAAUUCACUUUUGCACACAAACCUUGUGUGACUACUGCCAACUAUUUUGAGAUCAAUACGAUAGGAAGAGAAAAUAAAGAAACUACUAUAUUUUGAAUUAAUUCUAUCGCCAUUACAACAUUGCUCAGUAACAUGCCAUACAAGCUUAAAGUGCAACUACAUGUAUUCCUGACCCUAUAGUUUUAACACAACCAUCUAGCCCCCCUGGGCCCCUCAUGCCUCCAUAAAUAUAGUUACUUACUGUAUUCAAGCCAGAAGCUGUAAAUCUGCAUGCUGUUAGACUCAGGAAAAACAAGACGUCUGCUGACAUGUGAUAGCCUGAUCCAAUCACAGUUCUUCCCCAUAGGAUUGGCUAAGACUGACAAAGAGACAGAUCAGGGGCAGAGCCAGCAUGAUUCAAACACAGCCCUGGCCAAUCAGCAUCUCCUCAUAGAGAUGAAUUGAAUCAAUGAAUCUCUAUGAGGAAAGUUCAGUGUUUGCAUGCAGUGGGAGGAGAUACUGUAUCACGGGAUGCUUGUGCACAGCAGAUCUGAGUGGAUGGAGGCAUACUAAGAAGUCCCUCUGGUUCACUAUGAGUGACUGCAACUGGAUGUGUUCCUAGCUUUCAAUGUAAACACUGUAUUUUCUCAGAAAAUACAGUGUUUACAUGAGAAAGGCUGCAGGGAGCUAUAGUGCUCACCUGAACAACCUCAUUAAGCUGUUCAGGUGACUAUAGUGUCCCUUUAAAAGGUCUCUUUAAGCAAGGUUUAGUGUUUCUGAAUGUAAAACUGCACGGUUUAAAAUGGAUUUCCUAUUUUAUGUAAGCGAGUCAGUGUAAUGUCAAUAUUUCCAUGGUGUAUGCAUGGUUUAAUAUUUACACGCUUUACAAAAAAUGCAAAUUUGUAUUUCCUCAACAAAAGAAGUGAUCAGGAUGCUAUAUGUAACUUUCCAAAGUGCUGACUUUAUCCCAUAAAUCUCUGCAGAGUCAAACUUGGGCUGAGCAGAGGUUUCUAAAAAUUGUAGUUCAGAUAGCCUUUCUUUAACUUAUGAAAGCUGUCUAUCUAAACAUACAUCUUUGCUGUGAUGACAUAAACAUGUGUGUUAUUGAUGUUGGGAAGGACAGAAUGGAUGAACAUAUAUACAGUAACCAGCAAGACAGAAGUAGAACAGAGGAGUCCGUUAAGAAGCAGAAUGAUGCAAAACAUUUAUUUUGUAAAAAAAAAACAAAAAGCAAAUUUAAAAAAAAACAAAAACCCCCCCCACAAAACUAUUCAGAUUCUGAACAUGAAAAACAAUAAAGCAUAUCAACAUAACAUAUGUAUUGUUAGUAAGUUGUGUUGAUACCUCACUUGAGCCUUUCAUUUAAAGGUGUUAAUGUUGCAUUAGUAAUGUUUUAGAUCAGGGAUUCUUAAAAGGGGAACAGUCACUUAACAGGGUUUUAAUAUUCCGUUGCUUAUCCUUGAGAUAUAGAUAUAUAUAUAUAUAUAUAUAUAUAUAUAUAUAUAUAAAUAUAUAUAAUUUUUUCUGAGAAAAUAUUAACACAAGCUAUAUGGGAGUUUUCCAUGUUUUAUUCAGUGGUGUAAAGAAGUGACGGUUUCACUUCAAGGUCAGGAUUCACAACUGGUAUCCACUGGCUGUAACUAAAUUAUUUUUUAAAUUGCAUUAGAAAAAAAAAAAAAAAAAGUGUCAUUCAUGUUCUUUGUAUAUAUACUUAAUAUAUACAAUAUACUAUGGCUUUUCAAACAAAUUCCAAGACAGAUGUGUUCAAUUGGUGGCAUUGGGAUUAGGAGAUUUCUCAGAUCAAUGAGCUAAAUGAAUACAGAGAAGGCGUUAAAAUAAGGUUUCUCAUUGUCUAACUUGAAAAAUAUAACACUAUAAGAAUUUAACACCUUAAGGACACAUGACAUGUGUGACGUCAUGAUUCCCUUUUAUUCCAGAAGUUUGGUCCUUAAGGGGUUAAACCAAGGGUGAUAAAAAGGUGGAAGGCUGACCUAGUUAUCAUAUGAUUUGUAAUACUACAGCUGGGGAUCAACCUUUUAGCAAACCCUAACGUAAAAAGGUAUGACAUUACUUCCAAAGCCCUCUUUGAUUGAUUACACUAGAUAAAAACAUAACACUGAGUCAUUAGGAACAUAUUAAUAAGCAAUUAUUAAUAUCUAUUAUGUGACAUAAAAAAAUAAAAAAAUCAAUUUACAGUAGAACCUCCCCAACAAAAAAAUAAAAUAAAUGAUUUUAAAGUAGAUUGUCCCCUUCACCAGACAUCACUUUAUACAAAAGAACCCCUAACAAAAAUUGUGAUACUGCAUUUACCAUUUGUAGGUCAACCUAUGAUAUUCAGGUUAAGUCAAAGGGGAUAACACUAAGACCAAUCUUCCACCCGACAAACCUUAUUUUGGGCCUCACAGAAUAAAGCUAUGUUUCUUAGGUAAAAGGGCUACGUUAUCACUAUAUUUGGUUUCCCUCUCGUCUUUUUUGCAAUUAACUGCCAACAAUGAAUUCAGAUCCUAGACAAAUGAAGCAUUUAACAAUCAGGAUUGAUAGAUUUAUCUAUUUUGAGCUUUUUCUUUAGUUGAACUAGAUGUGUACUAGUUAUUAUAUACUAUUUAUUUAUUUAAAAUAUGGCGAUGUCAACAUUGGGGGGGGGGGGGUCUUUGCAUAUUAUCCAAAGUCUCCAGAUGGCAACAGUUCCACUUUAAAGAGAACCUCUUAAAUUAUGGUGAAUCAAAGACACUAAACAAAUUCUAGGUUUUGUUUUGGUUCAAACCUUGGACAACUGCCUCCAUCCAUAAAGGGUUAACAAUGAAUGAGGAUCCAUGGCCUCCUACAGUCCGACCCCCACUGAAGGUAUGACUAUGGCAGAGAACACACUGUUUCUUAGCCAAACCAAUGCAUAUCAGCAAUGGGUAGCUGUAACACUUUCAGUCAAUCUCUGCUUCCCUUUGCUGAUCCAGAAAAUGCUUCCUCAUUAAACAGGCAGCUACGAGGGGAGGGGCUAGCAGCUGCUGGGACUCUUCUUUAGCAUUAAACCAUUCAAAAACUGUUAUACAUAGAAUGGAAGGACAGCACCAGGAGAAUAUAGCCUCUUCAAUGAGAAGUGGUGAUAAAAGUGCCUACACUUGCAGGCUUCCCCAAACUCCGGCCCACCAGAUGUUGCUGAAUUACAACUCCCAUGAUUCUCAGCCUUUUUCAUUCAUAGAAUCAUGGGAAUUGUAGUCAGCAACAUCUGGAGGGCCGGAGUUUGGGGAAGCAUGGCCUAGAGUGUCCCUUAAAAGCAGGAAAUAUCUUUAAAUAAGUUUAAAGGACCACUCUAGGCACCCAGACCACUUCAGCUUAAUGAAGUGGUCUGGGUGCCAGGUCCAGCUAGGGUUAACCCAUUUUUUCAUAAACAUAGCAGUUUCAGAGAAACUGCUAUGUUUAUGAAUGGGUUAAGCCUUCCCCCUAAUCCUCUAGUGGCUGUCUCAUUCACAGCCACUAGAGGCGCUUGCGUGCUUCUCACUGUGAUUUCCACAGUGAGAGCACGCAAGCGUCCAUAGGAAAGCAUUAUGAAUGCUUUCCUAUGUGACCGGCUGAAUGCGCGCGCAGCUUUUGCCGCACGUGCGCAUUCAGCACAGGAGGAGGAUCGGAGGAGGAGAGCUCCCCGCCCAGCGCUGGAAAAAGGUAAGUUUAACCCCUUUUCCCCUUUCCAGAGCCGGGCACUGAAUUGGAAUAUGUUAAAACAAAAACAUAAAUUUGUUCCAAAUGACCAAUUCUAGCAUAAAAAAAAAUCCAUUUGGUAUGUAAUAUCUAUUGAAAUUUUUGCAUCAUGCUCAGUGACUAGGUUGGGAGCUAGAUAUAUUUUUGCAUUUGCAAAAUUAAUACCCCAUAAUGCUAUAUGAACCAUACUAAAGUGAAAUUACUUGGCUGGUCUGAAUUUAGACAUUAUGUAAUGUUUGUAAGUUGAGAAAUUUCAAAAAGAGGAUUUUCUUUGUUUUAAAAAGUAGUUUUAAGCCAUGGCUUCAAGUCUGGAUAUGAGAGCCUGGUCUGUUACUUACUGGCUCUCGUACCAAAGCAUAUCAUGAUAAGACGUACACAUGCACUGUGCUGUCACAGUUUGACACAGAGAACCAUUGCAUAAAAUGGUUUACUAUGGCAUAAUCGUAGGCGCAUUUUUAGGCACAUAUGUGCCUCUGGUGUCCCUUCCUCCAGGAUGACAUCAGAAGAGGUGGAGCCGCAACAGCUUGUGGGAGAUUCGGUGUUGGAGAGAAGGCGAGCAUAAUGAUUUAAUUUUGUUUUGGACAUGCCGGCGGGAAGGGGGGGUCAGAAUCUAAGUAGGUGCAUUAAGACAGUAGCGUUAGGAAUACAGAAAUGCUUCCCUAGCACUUUUCCUUAAGUGUACAAAGCCAAAGGAUCCAUUUUAUGAAUACAGUAAUGGUUUUUACUUUAUUAUUGGUAACGUAAACUGUCUGUCCUUCUUUUCAUGUACAAGAGCCUAGAAAUACUUUAAGAUGACAGAUUAUAUUAAGAGUGUAAAAAAAUUUAUAAAAAAAAAAAAAUUCCCGCAUUACCUUCAUCAUAAAUGGUCAAUACAUUAUUGGGGGAAAUGUUAGAAUACACACUAUACAGUAGCUCAGAAAUUAUGUUAAAUGUUACAGCUGAAAUUAUGCUUGAUACAAUAAGUGCUUUAGCUUCAAUUAUUCCUUUGCUUGCAUUAGUUUAAGAAAUACUUACAGCGAACAAAUACAAUUUACAAAAGAUAGUGGAAAAACACCUUAGAAAUCUUUUAAAAAUUGGUAGCAGAAUGAUUUUGUUAAUUAUAAUAGCUUUUAGAAGUGAAUGCUUUUUUUUGUUUUGUGUAUUUUCAUGGAAAAUUUAAAUUUGUUCUUCAAAUAAUUGUUGUUAAGCAAAUGUUGCUCUAUUCUAACACAGAAAUGAAAGGCAAUACUAUUUUCACUUUUCUUUUGAUUUCUA
rnacentral:lncRNA from 1 species